rnacentral:rRNA from 1 species
AUUGAACGCUGGCGGAAUGCUUUACACAUGCAAGUCGAACGGCAGCACGGGGCAACCUGGUGGCGAGUGGCGAACGGGUGAGUAAUAUAUCGGAACGUGCCCAAUCGUGGGGGAUAACGUAGCGAAAGUUACGCUAAUACCGCAUACGAUCUACGGAUGAAAGCGGGGGAUCGCAAGACCUCGCGCGAAUGGAGCGGCCGAUAUCAGAUUAGGUAGUUGGUGGGGUAAAGGCUCACCAAGCCAACGAUCUGUAGCUGGUCUGAGAGGACGACCAGCCACACUGGAACUGAGACACGGUCCAGACUCCUACGGGAGGCAGCAGUGGGGAAUUUUGGACAAUGGGCGCAAGCCUGAUCCAGCCAUUCCGCGUGCAGGAUGAAGGCCUUCGGGUUGUAAACUGCUUUGUUACGGAACGAAACGGUACUGCCCUAAUACGGCAGGCUAAUGACGGUACCGUAAGAAUAAGCACCGGCUAACUACGUGCCAGCA